rnacentral:rRNA from 1 species
AAUGAACGCUGGCGGCAUGCCUUACACAUGCAAGUCGAACGGCAGCAUGACCUAGCUUGCUCGGUUGAUGGCGAGUGGCGAACGGGUGAGUAAUGCAUCGGAACGUGCCUUUUAGUGGGGGAUAACGUAGCGAAAGUUACGCUAAUACCGCAUAUUCUCUGAGGAGGAAAGCAGGGGACCUUCGGGCCUUGCGCUAGAAGAGCGGCCGAUGUCGGAUUAGCUAGUUGGUGAGGUAAAGGCUCACCAAGGCAACGAUCCGUAGCGGGUCUGAGAGGAUGAUACCGCCACACUGGGACGGGAAAAAGGCCCAAACUCCGACGGGGGGCAGCGGGGGGGAAUUUUGGCAAAGGGGGGAAAGCCUGACCCAGCCAUGCCGCGGGGGUGAAGAAGGCCUUCGGGUUGUAAAGCCUUUUGGGGUGGGAAAAAAUCGCCCCCUUUAAAACAGGGUGGGGAUGACGGUACCAGAAUAAGAAGCACCGGCUAACUACGG